rnacentral:rRNA from 1 species
CCCUUAGAUGUUCGGGGCCGCACGCGCGCUACACUGAAGGAAUCAGCACGUCUUUCUCCUUGUCCGAAAGGACUGGGUAACCCGCUGAACCUCCUUCGUGCUAGGGAUUGGGGCAUGUAAUUCUUCCCCAUGAACGAGGAAUUCCCAGUAAGCGCGAGUCAUAAGCUCGCGUUGAUUACGUCCCUGCCCUUUGUACACACCGCCCGUCGCUACUACCGAUUGGAUGGUUUAGUGAGAUCCUCGGAUUGGUCCCGGAGCGGCCUCUGGUCGUGCCGGAGUGCCGAAAAGAAUGUCGAACUUGAUCAUCUAGAGGAAGUAAAAGUCGUAACA